GCCACGGGGGAGUGGCUGCAGUUUUUCCAGGACGCCGGGAUCCCGCCCGGCCCCGCCCUGGGAUACGCCGUCGCUUUUGUGGACAACAGGAUCCACAAGGACAUGCUGCUGGAGCUGACGCGGGAGCUGAUGAGGGAGUUGGGCAUCACCGUGGUGGGCGACGUCAUCGCCAUCCUGCGCCACGCCCGCCUCGUCCACAGCCAGGAGCUGUGCCGGGCGGCCUCCCGGGAGCUGCAGCCGCCGCCGGAACCUCCCCCGGACAGGGAGAGAGGGGGGGACUCGGGUGAGUGACGGACCCUGGAGCCAGCCCAGAGAC